CCUACGGAGGGCUGCAGUGGGGAAUAUUGCACAAUGGGCGAAAGCCUGAUGCAGCAACGCCGCGUGAAGGAAGAAGGGUUUCGGCUCGUAAACUUCUAUUAACAGGGACGAAAGAAAUGACGGUAACUGAAUAAGACGCACAGGCUAACUACGUGACAGCAGCCGCGGCAAUACGUAGGGGGCAAGCGUUAUCCGGAAUUACUGGGUGUAAAGGGUGAGUAGGCGGCAUGGUAAGCCAGAUGUAAAAGCCUUGGGCUUAACCCGAGGAUUGCAUUUGGAACUAGCAAGCUAGAGUACAGGAGAGGAAAGCGGAAUUCCUGGUGUAGCGGUGAAAUGCGUAGAUAUUAGGAAGAACACCAGUGGCGAAGGCGGCUUUCUGGACUGAAACUGACGCUGAGGCACGAAAGCGUGGGGAGCGAACAGGAUUAGAUACCCGGGUAGUC
rnacentral:rRNA from 1 species